GGGGCCAUGUUGCUGGGCAAAUAUUUAUAAUCCCUAUUUUUGGAAGUUUUUUGUUUGUAUUAUUGUUGCUUUCAAGAGAUGCAGAAAAAGAUCUUUACAAGAUCUGUGAGUAUUUUCAAAUUUUCUGCAAUCUGCAUAUCCAAUGAGAUCUAUUCAAUUUUUUAUGUGCCUUUUCCUUUUAUUAUUUGCUCCAAGUUGAUUUUUUUUUUUCCUUUGUGACUGUUUGAUUAGGAUAAUUGGCAUUGCUAGUUUAUGAACACAAUUGGUCGUACUGGCAUACCGUUUACUUCAUUCUUUUUAUGCAUUUAUAUAUAUUGAUUUAUCUUUAUUUUGCUUCUUUUGUAGAAGAAGAUGAAUCAAGAGUAUGAGAAGGCCAAGCAACAAGUGGCAGAGAGUUCAGGAACUCCCCUAGAUCAAGUCACACUCCCUAUCCCACAACAAUUAGAGAUCAUGAUUGUAGAACUUUGUUGCAAAGGGCAAGAGGAUUCGAGGCUUAGGUUCUAGUCUUCGAGUGGAGAGUUCACAUAGUUGUGGAGUUGUCUCGUCUUUUGCUACAGAGCAAAAGGUUGAGGAACUUGAAGGCAAAGUUGGUGAGUUGAAAGGCACAGUAAGCAUCAGGGCACAGUGGGUAAACUUUUGGAUGUCAUUGAGUGGAUGUGAACCCAUGAUGGUCCUCUACCCUCACAUUUAGGUGUUCUGUCCCAGCAUGUUGGUGAUUCUCCUUGUGAUGAUGAUCAAGGUAAUAAUGGUGGUUCACGUAAUGUUUAUGAGGAUCUUGAUGAUAUUGGAAAUAGUCAUUAAGUUGUGUGUACAUCUACAUACUUGAUGGUUUUUGUAUCUAGCCUACCUUGGGGGUACUAGGCGCUUCUGUAUCUAGCCACUUGAUGGUUUUUGUAC
rnacentral:lncRNA from 1 species